GUGCUCACUUUGGCAGCACAUAUACUAAAAUUGGAAAGAUACAGAGAAGGCACCCGCCAAGAAUGACUCGCAAAUUCCUGAAGCGUUCCAUAUUUUU
ensembl:snRNA U6 U6 spliceosomal RNA